UACGUAGGGGGCAAGCGUUGUCCGGAAUCAUUGGGCGUAAAGAGCGUGUAGGCGGCCCGAUAAGUCCGCCGUGAAAGUCCAGGGCUCAACCCUGGAAUGCCGGUGGAAACUGUCGGGCUGGAGUCCGGAAGAGGCGAGUGGAAUUCCUGGUGUAGCGGUGAAAUGCGCAGAUAUCAGGAGGAACACCGGUGGCGAAAGCGGCUCACUGGACCGUUACUGACGCUGAGGUGCGAAAGCUAGGGGAGCAAACGGG
rnacentral:rRNA from 1 species